GGGCUUGUAGCUCAAUGGUAAAGCGUUUGACUCAACGAUCAAAUGUCGCGGGUUCGAAUCCCAUGUAGUCCA
rnacentral:tRNA from 1 species